rnacentral:misc_RNA from 1 species
GAUGAAGAACGUAGCGAAAUGCGAUAAGUAAUGUGAAUUGCAGAAUUCAGUGAAUCAUCGAAUCUUUGAACGCACAUUGCGCCCCUUGGUAUUCCGAGGGGCAUGCCUGUUCGAGCGUCAUAUUAACCACUCCCGCUUGCGGGGUCUUGGGCUUCGCCUCCGGGCGGGCCUUAAAAUCAGUGGCGGUGCCGUCGGGCUCUACGCGUAGUAAAUUUUCUCGCGAUAGGGUCCCGGUGGAUGCUUGCCAACAACCCCCAACUUCUUAAGGUUGACCUUGGAUCAGGUAGGGAUACCCGCUGAACUUAAGCAUAUCAAUAAGCGGAUGA